rnacentral:rRNA from 1 species
UACGGAGGGUGCAAGCGUUAUCCGGAUUCACUGGGUUUAAAGGGAGCGUAGGUGGCUUUGUAAGUCAGUGGUGAAAUAUUGCGGCUUAACCGCAAAACUGCCAUUGAUACAGCUUAGCUUGAAUCACGUCGAGGUGGAUGGAAUAAUACAUGUAGCGGUGAAAUGCUUAGAUAUGUAUUAGAACACCGAUUGCGAAGGCAGUUCACUAGGCGUGUAUUGACACUGAGGCUCGAAAGCGUGGGGAUCAAACAGG